rnacentral:misc_RNA from 1 species
UUUCCGUAGGUGAACCUGCGGAAGGAUCAUUCAUAAUAAAGUGUUUUAUGGCACUUUUUAAAAAUCCAUAUCCACCUUGUGUGCAAUGUUAGAUCUCGUCAAUCUUGGCGAGAUUUUUAUACAUCAACUCAUUCUUUAACUAAUUUGUCUGAAAACUAUUAUGAAUACUUAAUUCAAAAUACAACUUUCAACAACGGAUCUCUUGGCUCUCGCAUCGAGAAGAACGCAGC